rnacentral:lncRNA from 1 species
GAGAGGGAGCUUUGAAUACCUGUUAGUGGGGUUACCAAAAUUUUGACAGAAAGCAGAUUGAGUACGUGUUUGUGGGUUGGCAAAAUUUUGAGAGCAAGCAGAUCCAAUUUUGAUGUGUGUGAAAUGAAAUAGAUAGUCUUUUGAAAUGAAUGAUUUGGAGGUAACUGCUUGGUUUGUGUUGAUAAUAUAUAUGUUUUAUUUGAUUAGGUAGGUUCGUUGAACAGAGAAGUUUCAUUUUUAACUUCCUUGUAAGAGAGUAUGCAUUUGAUUUACGUAUUACAAAGGUAUAAUUUCAAAACUACACUCUACACCAUCAUUUAUAUAUUUCAUGUCUUUUUUCAGUUGACAUGUUUUCUUCUAAAAACUCGAAUAAAUAUUGGGUUUCAAAUAUCUAUUCAAUGUAGUUGAUGAUAAAAGGUUUUGAAGUCCAUGUUGGACAGAUAUUUCAAGUCUUCAAUCUUUAUAAGCCCAAUUGCCCAAUUUUGGUGAUUUGUGCUCCAUGAAUUUUUUAACUAGUAAAAGAUUUUUAUUUAAAAGGUUAAAUUUUCUUCAUCUUUACGUCAAAAGUGAUCUUAAAAUUAUUAUUGAAAAAUCAAAUAAAACCGUCAUAUAUUAGGACUUUUAAAUGUCGAGUUAUGUUUUUAUUAAUUUUUUAAUUGUAUUUAUUUUAAAAGUAUUAAGUUUUAUUAAAUAUUAAAAAAUAUUUUAAAUAUCUAUUUAUAAAAGUAACCAUUAAUGGAGGGUGGUUUUAAAAAUAAAAUAAAGUUAUAAUAGUUAAUUUAUAUAUUAUAUGAUAUAGAAAAGUAAAAUAGAAAAUAAUUUUAAGAUAUAAAAAUGAUGUGAUGGAGAAAAUAAUAUAUUAAAGUUAAAAAAAAGGUAAUUUGGUCACUCUUUUGUUAAAUAUAUUUUAUGAUAUUAAAUAAAAUGUUUUCUUAGAAAAAUAAAAGUGUAAAUUAAAAAGUAAUUUCAUCAUUUCGGAAGGAAAAAAAAGUCAUCUAUUAAACUUUAAAAAUUUUAUUAAAUUUAUAAAAUUUUACAUAUGAAUUUGCUAACCUUGUUUAUUUUUCUCAUUACAAUAAAAAUUUUGAUAUAUAAUUUUUUUUAUAUAAAAAAUAAAUAGAGGUUCAGUUAAUUAUAGUGUAAAUCGUCUAAACUGUUUAGUCAGGUAACAAGAUAUAAAGUAAAAUACAUUCAAGUUCUGUAUUUUAUACCUAACUCUCUCGCCUCUGUCCCUUGAUAAAAAAAUAAUUAGUGUUAAUCUCCUCCCACCACUCUAAUAGAUGAAAUUGGCUGCUGCCUUCACGAGACUGGAAGUAUUCUCCUUUUUUUAAUAUACUUCACCUUAUAUCAUCUGGGUUGUCGGGUUUGUUUCAAUUUUCUUAGGUGUGUUUGGAUAGAGAGUAAACAGGUUUAUAAAGUAAAUAAAUGGGUUUUUAGUUUUUUAGUAUAAAAAAAAAAUUUAAAAAUGAAUUGUAGAAUAAAAAAAUUUAUCAAAUAAGAAUUUGGACGCUCAGACUCCAACAUGGUAUAUUUUUUAAGCACACCACGAGGAGUGUUUACACGAACUAAAUUAUUUGUGAGCUAUUCGAGACUCAACUCGAUAAAAACUUGAUCGGACUCGACUCGUUUUCUAAAUUAACUGAGCUCGAGCUCACUUUUUAGAUUCGUUUAAUAAAUGAGCCGAGUUUGAGCUUAGCAGUAUUCGACUCGUUUAAACUCACAAGCUCUGACUCGUUUAGACUCAUGAGCUCGACUCGUUUUCAAACUCGUGAACAGGCUCGCAAACAAGCUCGUGAGUUCGGCAACACCAAUCCCACGUCGAAAGUUUUAUGAAAUAUAGAAGAUUGUGAUUUCUAUGUAAGAAACCACCUUUCUACAUGUUUUUUAGUUUUGAAUUUGAGAGAAUUUAACUAAAUUAAAAAAAAAUUAAUUUAAAAGUCUCUUAACGAUCUUAUAAUUAAAAUUUUAUUUUUAAUUUAAAUUUAUUUAUAAUUUAAAUGAAUUUAAAUUAUAUUGAGCUUAUUUAUAAUAUAAUCAAGCUUAAAUUCGAGUUUAAAUGAGCUCAAAUUUGAAUUUUUUGAAUAAAGUUUGAAUUGGCUCGUUAAUGUGAUAAACAAACUUAUUACGAAUCGAGUUCGAACCGAACUCGAAUUUAAUAUUUUUUUAUGAAUCGAGCUCGAUCUUAUAAAUGAAACUCGAGUCGAGCUCGAACUUUUAAAUUUAUUUUCUAAUCGAGUCUGAAUUUAUUAAAAUUCGGCACGUUUCUUUUAAAAAAAAUUACUUUUUACGCUUUAAAAACACAACUUAUUUUAUUGAUAAUAAUAUUUGAUUCUUUUUUUUUUCAGAAGAUAUUUUUAAUUUAAGUAGAAUUCUCUUCAUCCUCAAUUUAUUUUUUCAAUUUAUCAAUUUUAUCAUAUGUUUAGCAUAGUAGUAAAAUAUCAAUUCUCUCAUAACUCUCCAAUAUCACUUUUAAAUUCAUUAAAUAUUUAUAAUCAAUUAAAAGUAAUCAAAAUAAUAACAAUAGAUAAUAUUUCAUUUUUUUUAUAAAUAACUUAAUUAUAUUUAUUAAUUAUUAUUAAAAAUUAUUUAAUUUUAAUUUAAUUAUAUAACUAAAUUAAAUUACAUAAAAUUUUUGUACGUAAUAUUUAUCUCUUAAUUCUUUUAUUCUGUUCUGCAACAUUCUUUUUGUGGGAGGGAAAAAUUAUUUUGUAAAUACCUUCAAAGUUCAUAAUAUAAAUUUUAAUAUAUAUAAAAAUAAAUAAUUACUAAAUAAAAAUAAUUAUUUACUUUGAAUUUUGCUUAAAUACUACUUAAAAUUUAAAAAUAAUUAAAUGCAACAGUUUCUAUCAAAACAUUAAUUUUUUUAUUUUAAUAUUAUAAUGAGAAUAAAUUUUUUUUUGCAAAUAAUAGUUUUACUAUAUAAAGUGUUCACAUUCUAUUUUUAGUUCGUACACUUUUUUUUUUUAUAUUUUUUUAAUUUUCUUUGCAAAUUUGUCUAUUAAUAUUUUUGGUACGUAUACCGUCUAUUAAUAUUUUGAUAAACAAAUAUCAAAAUAAAUAAAAAAUAAAAAAUAUAAAAAUUUAUAUAUAUUAACAUAAAAAUUAACUAUUUUUAGAUAAAUAAAUAAAUUUUAAAAAAAAUUAAGAAUAUAAUGAGAGGAGAAAUGAGAGAGAGUAAAAAAAUCAAAUAUAAUUUAGCUAGAAAAACAUACUUUAGCAAAUUUAAUAUAAAAUUUAUAAGAUUGAGAGGAAAUAGAUGGUUACGAUUACAUUAUUAAUUUUAAUUAUUUAUAAUUAUUUUUAUUUUAUAUAAACAUAUUAAUCAUAUUAACAAAUAACAAUAACGCAUAUAUAUUAAUCACCAUUACUAAUUUGAUCAGUAAUUAUUUGAUCAUAUCAAAUAAUCAUUGACUAUACAGAAAACAAUACCAUCAUUUAUUAAUCAUAUUAACAAACAGUAGUAACGCAUAUGUGUUAAUCACCAUUAAUAUCUUUCUGAAACCCUUAAUUGAAAACCUGUUAAUCAUAUUAACACUUAUAAUCAAAAUAAUAUUUUGUUAAUCAAAUUAACAGAAAAAUGUAUGUGUACUGUAUGAAAACGAUGUUCACAUAAAAUCUACAGAUAUCAUCGAUUCAUAUCAUAUAUAAAUAUAUCAUUUUUAACAUCAAAAUGAAUUGAACAAUUCAAUUAUCAUGUCAUUCUAAUAAAAAUAUAUAAUAUAUAGCACAUUAAUCAUGGCAUAUUCGACUUAAAUGAAAAGUACAAAUUACCUCUGAUACCACACUACAACACACUAUAGCAAUAGAGACAUCAAAUGAAGCAUCCACCUUGAUUUUAAUCAUAUAUAUAUUAAGAGACAACCACAUAGUCCCAUAAAACUCAAGAUAUGAGAGGCACUAAAAAAAAUGGUGUUUACAAGAUAACCAAACUAGAAACUCCUCAAUAACAUUUCGAGUAUCAAUGUUCGAGUAUCGAGUUUUUACGGAUAUUUAAUCUGAUUGAAUCCUAAUAAGAGAAAUUUAAUUAAUAUAUAAUCAGAUUUACUCAUUAGUUAAGCUACCCAACCUUGAUUUCUUCUUCGGUUAACAUACCCAACCUUAAUUUCUUCUUAGUUACAAGCUUGCAUAAUUCCUCAUUCAUUAAUUCUAUCAUCAACAACCAAAAAAAUAACAUUCAACACUUCAUUGGAAACAUGAAGAUGAUCAGCUUUUGAAAAAGAUUAUUGAUAAAAGGUUUAUUAAAUAAAAAAAGAAAAAAUUACUUUUUAGUCCUUCAUAUUUAACGUAAUUAAUAUUUUUGUUCCUCUAUUUUGACGAUCCAACACUUAAGUCCUUCAAUUUCUCUUUUAUCCGAAUUCAUAGUCCUUUCGUCCAAAAUAGCCGUUUGGGACAUGUUAAUUGACAAAAUUGACCUUCACCAAAAGUCUCUCUAUUUCAAAAUCACGAAACCCCAUCUCUCUUUCCUCUCCCUCUUUCUUCUCCCUCUCUCUCUCUCUCUCUCUAUCUUUGUCUAAACUUCUCUCUCGUUUUCCCUUUCUCUCGCUCUCUCUCUAUCUCUCUCUGUGUCGAAACUAAACCCCUCUAUCUCUAUCGAAACUUGUCCCUCUCUCUCGUGCUCUCUCUGUCUCUGUCAAAGCCUUGUCUCUCUCUCUUGCGUUCUCUCUGUCUCUCUCUCUCUCGAAACUUCUCUCUCUGUGGUCCCAUUGUACCUCAUUUUCUUAAUCUUCUCGAAAAACACUAAACCCACCAUAUUCCGAAGGUGGAGUCAGUGUUCAUAUACGCAAAAGAAAUCGAAGGUACGAAAAUCUCUUUUGUUUUACAGUGAAGACAAAUUUAUUGCUUUAUUGUUUAGAUUUUUUGAGUUACAAUAAAUAAUUUUUUAUUUAUUGAUUUUUCUAGGGUUUACUGUUAAGAUUAGGGGUUUAAUGAUUUGGGAAUUAAUUUUGUAAUUUCCUUUUUAUUUUUGCAGAUAGCAAUGGAUAAAUUUGAGAAGUGUGCAGGUUGUGAGUUUUUUAUUAGAUAUAUUAGAUGUGCAACAUAUAUUUUUGAACAGAUUUUGUGAGUUUUAAUUUAAUCCAAAUUGGAUGAAAUUGUGAUUUUUUUGGACAUAAUUAGUGUGCAGCUUUUGAUUUUUGUUUUUUUUUUUUUUACAGAUUUCAUUUGCAGGUUUUGAACAUGUAUUGGUUUUCUUGAGAUCUUUUGAUAUGCAACUAUUUUGGAUAUAUAUUGGUCAUUUCAGAUAUGCACAUAUUGUAAAGCUAUUUUGGACAAUUUUAGAGAAUUUAGAUAGGUUUUUUGUAUAUAUUUUGUGAUGUAAUAGAAAAAA